rnacentral:lncRNA from 1 species
UUACAAAUUUCACAGGAUUUAUUGGCCUCAAUAUUAGAAUAUCAUCUUUUAUCUCUUCUCAGGUUGAUCUACUUCUUCCCAUCAAUGCCACACAUACUGGGGAAGAGGAGGUGCCCCGAUACUUACCUGGGUUAGGGGUCUUGCCUUGUUGGAUGUGUCAUGAUUUACACCACCAUCUGCAUCUGGCUUGUUCCUCUGGAGCUCUGGCCUUUCAUCUCUUCUCCUCACUGGAUUUCUGGCUUGGCCUUCUACUGGAGUCUCACUACUAUUCUUCUGAUUCUGAUAGUGACCUCUUCAACAGGUACAGUUUACAUCCAUCCACUGGAUGAGUUCUCUCCACUUAUGGGAACAGUCAAGCCUCUAGCAUGUCACCAAAAUGCUUACCUGUGGGACUGGGAUUUCUUUGCAAAAGGCAUCUGACUAUUCAUUCAACCCUUCAUAUAUUCAUUUUUCAAACAAUUUUUGAGGAAUUACUAAGCUGGGUAUUAUGCUAGAUGUCAGAGCUACAGAGACAUUGAAACAUGGUUCCUGCCUUAAGGUGCUGGUUCUCAGUCUAGUGUGGGAGACUGAUAACAAUACAGGAAAGUACAAUGCACUGAGAGCUUUGGGAGAUGUAAUCAUAGGGCACUUUGAAAACACAGCUGUGGAAGGUGUGUGUGUCAGAGGUGGAGUGGGAUGGGGUGUCAGAAAAGCUUCUGAGCAGAGCUGAUCUAGCAAAUAAUACCCACUGAAAUUGUUGAGUGACCAUGAAGAUUAUUAUUUUUUUCUCAUAGGGCCCUGGAGGGCCCACACACAUCUUUGUAUUUGGAGAUGAGUCACUUUACUCCUUGAAAUAUCAACUGAAUUGUUUUUGAGUAGAUGCAGGAUUAACAGACACGACCCUAUAAAAUGUUAGCAAGAGGAAUACAUUUAUAAAAAAUGCCUAGCAUUUUGCUGGAAGUAUCUCAGAAGCCACCAAGGAAUGCUAAUUCCCACUCAAGCCAUUACCAGUGGGGAAGCAAAAAAGCAUCUGAAGAGGUGCAGAUGUGGUGAAUAUGUAUACUUUUCUGAAGAGGCAAUUAAUACACACGGACAGUAUUCAAAAUGUAUAAGAAGAUAUACGGUAUGAGAGGAGCCUAAUUCCCUCUCUGGCCCCCCCCAUCCCCUAAUACUCUACUGGGAAGUGUGAGAAAUAAGCCCACUGUCCCAAUCAAAGGAGGGACACAGAGACUCAGAGCACAGUAAAGUGAGGCUUUAAAUCCACAUUCUUGCCAAGAGUGGAUGCUGAUGGAAAGGUGCACUCAGAGCAGUUACAGCAAUUUAUCUCCUAGCAUGAGUCCCUCCCCUGGUUCCUCACUGGCUGAGUACUAUGGAGGUUACAGCCUUACCUGGAGGUCGCCUAUGCUGUGUAAGGCCAAAAUGUAGCCUGAUUGGAACAAAU